rnacentral:rRNA from 1 species
GAUGAACGCUGGCGGCGUGCCUAAUACAUGCAAGUCGAGCGAAGCGGGGACGGGUGAGUAACACGUGGGUAACCUCCUAUAAGACUGGGAUAACUUUGGGAACCCUAAGCUAAACCCAAUACUUCUAGAUUGGUCCGCGCUGCUUUAGCUAGUUGGUAAGGUAACGUCUUACCAAGGCAACGAUGCAUAGCCGACAUGAGAGGGUGAUCGGCCACACUGGAACUGAGACACGGUCCAGACUCCUACGGGAGGCAGCAGUAGGGAAUCUUCCGCAAUGGGCGAAAGCCUGACGGAGCAAUGCCGCGUGAGUGAUGAAGGUCUUCGGAUCGUAAAACUCUGUUAUUAGGGAAGCGGUACCUAAUCAGAAAGCCACGGCUAACUACGUGCCAGCAGCCGCGGUAAUUC